UACGUAGGUGGCAAGCGUUGUCCGGAUUUACUGGGCGUAAAGAGCGCGCAGGCGGUCGUUUAAGUCGAGUGUGAAAGCCCCCGGCUCAACUGGGGAGGGUCAUUCGAUACUGAUCGACUUGAAGGCAGGAGAGGGAAGUGGAAUUCCGGGUGUAGUGGUGAAAUGCGUAGAUAUCCGGAGGAACACCAGUGGCGAAGGCGACUUCCUGGCCUGUUCUUGACGCUGAGGCGCGAAAGCUGGGGGAGCAAACGGG
rnacentral:rRNA from 1 species